rnacentral:misc_RNA from 1 species
UUAAGUUCAGCGGGUAUCCCCACCUGAUCCGAGGCCAACCUUGUGAGUAUUCGUUCGGGGCUGCCGCCGCCCGGGGGCCCAAGCGAGGGUUUUGCUACGCUUGAGGCCGGGAGGUGGCGCCUGCGAGUUUCGGGCCCGCCCGCGGGCGGGGCCCAUCACCAAGCGGGGCUUGAGGGUUGAAAUGGCGCUCGAACAGGUGU